CAGUCGCCGCGGGAAUACGGAGGGUGCAAGCGUUAAUCGGAAUUACUGGGCGUAAAGCGCACGCAGGCGGUCUGUCAAGUCAGAUGUGAAAUCCCCGGGCUUAACCUGGGAACUGCAUUUGAAACUGGCAGGCUAGAGUCUUGUAGAGGGGGGUAGAAUUCCAGGUGUAGCGGUGAAAUGCGUAGAGAUCUGGAGGAAUACCGGUGGCGAAGGCGGCCCCCUGGACAAAGACUGACGCUCAGGUGCGAAAGCGUGGGGAGCAAACAGGAUUAGAUACCCCGGUAGUCCUGUCUCUUAUACC
rnacentral:rRNA from 1 species